rnacentral:rRNA from 1 species
AGUGAACGCUGGCGGUAGGCCUAACACAUGCAAGUCGAACGGCAGCACAGUAAGAGCUUGCUCUUACGGGUGGCGAGUGGCGGACGGGUGAGGAAUACAUCGGAAUCUACUUUUUCGUGGGGGAUAACGUAGGGAAACUUACGCUAAUACCGCAUACGACCUACGGGUGAAAGCAGGGGAUCUUCGGACCUUGCGCGAUUGAAUGAGCCGAUGUCGGAUUAGCUAGUUGGCGGGGUAAAGGCCCACCAAGGCGACGAUCCGUAGCUGGUCUGAGAGGAUGAUCGGCCACACUGGAACUGAGACACGGUCCAGACUCCUACGGGAGGCAGCAGUGGGGAAUAUUGGACAAGGGGCGCAAGCCUGAUCCAGCCAUCCCGCGUGGGUGAAGAAGGCUUCGGGUUGUAAAGCCCUUUUGUUGGGGAAGAAAAGCAGCAGGUUAAUACCCCGCUGUUCUGACGGUACCCAAAGAAUAAGCACCGGCUAACUUCGUG